AAUCACUUGUCUUUUAUUUGAAAACGGGUAUGAAUGGCAUAACGAGGGCUUAACUGUCUCCUUUUUCCAGUCAAUGAAAUUGAUCUCCCCGUGCAGAAGCGGGGAUAAUUACAUAAGACGAGAAGACCCUAUGGAGCUUUAGAUAAGAGAUGGACCAUGUUAAUAAAUCUAUUUAAUAAGAACAAACUUAUUGGUCACCAUUUUAAUAUCUUUGGUUGGGGCGACCGCGGGGUAAUAAUUAACCCCCAAGUGGAAAAAGAGAACCUCUCUCAUAACCUAGACUGACAAAUCCAAGUAUCAGAAAAUCUGACCAAAAAUGACCCGGCAAAGCCGAUCAACGAACCGAGUUACCCUAGGGAUAACAGCGCAAUCCUCUCCUAGAGCCCAUAUCGACAAGAGGGUUUACGACCUCGAUGUUGGAUCAGGACAUCCUAAUGGUGCAGCCGCUAUUAAGGGUUCGUUUGUUCAACGAUUAAAGUCCUACGUGAUCUGAUUCCAGGACCGGAGAUCGCCUGUUUAUCAAAAACAUAUACGUGAUCU
rnacentral:rRNA from 1 species